UGAGGCAUAGCCAAGCGGUUAAGGCAACGGUUUUUGAUAUCGUCAUUCGUAGGUUCAAAUCCUACUGUCUCA
rnacentral:tRNA from 1 species